UUUACAAUCCAGUGAGAAGAGCAGAAACAGCAAUGUGGCCAUGUUCAAGUUUGCCAAAGGCCAUUCUGGAUGUAGGUGGGCUUGAGGGGCACCCAGAAAUUGAUUCUGACAGAUGGUAUAUAAUUGACUGCAUUGACCAACUUGCUGGGAGUCCACAACACCUAUGAGACAGGAUGGUAAGGCUGUGUUCUGCUGUUUCAUGGUUACAGCCUGGGAGUUUAGGGCUCUACUGAGUGGACUCAGCUCUUGAUUCAUUCAUAGUUUGACGGCACUGUUGGGAGGGGUAAAAGGUAUGGGUAGUUGCAUAAGUAUGUCACUGGGGUACAGCCUUGGCCUUGGAGCUACAUUUUACUUGACAUCUUCCUCUUUCCCAUUGCUUCCCAGCUGCCGAGGUGUGAGCUGUUGUGCUUCUCCGUGCCUAUGGUACCUGGAUGGACCUCUGAAAGAACAAGAGUGUCUCAUCGAUGCCAGGAAGAUACAUUCUCUGUAACUACCUUGGAUGUUUGCUAUUCUGAGUGACUACUUUAACUACAUUUGAAAUUUGCAGAGACUGUCAAAGAACUGCACAAAAUUCCUGUAAACCUUUCUCCCAGCUUCCCCAGUGUUAGCAUCCUACAAAGUUUGUCGUUGAUACUAAGGCAUUACCGCUGCGUCCUGAGCCAUUUCUGUGCCUUCUGUGAUAGGCCUCUGGAUUGUGAACUUGCCUGCUCAGAUAUUCUCCCCUUUCUUUUAGUCCAGAGUUGAAAUGCACUCACCUAGAAAACAGAUGAGGGUAAGUCUUUCUCUGUCAUGAGGACCAACUUCCAGCCAUCCAUCUGCAUCAGCGGACUCCCCCAAAUCUAGACAAGGUGCUCCUUCUAGAUGACCCCCCAUAUGCUCCUCUUUCUCUACUCUCUGUAUACUUUGCCACUUUCAUUGGUCUUCUCAGUAGAACUGACUGUUGGCAUUCAUUGGUUGUUUAUGGGUUGGAUGGAUGGAUGGAGUCAUUAUGUCUGGAGUUUUAAUAUCCUGUUGGCACCAGAAAGAUGGCGGCUCACCUACAAACAGAAGUGUUGACUGCUGGCGAUCCACGACCUUUAUGGCACAGAAGCUCAGUCACAGUACAGGUGGGACUUAGUGCCACUUCCAGUCUCAUUCUGACCAUCUACAAAGAAGAGAAGGACAAGCCUCGAAUCGCAACCUCCUUGAGUGUAAUAUCUGAGAGAGUUCCUCAAAUCUAAUGGUUCCCAGACUUAGUGGACUGACUCAGAAGCUCCAGGGACGAACCUGGCACGCUGCCUGAUUAAUAAACUUGCUAGCUGAUGUGGUAGCCUGCAGGACCUGGUUCUGAUGCAAGAGCUGGCACCGGAAGUCCUUCUGCAGGCCAACCUGCUUACUCUACAGUGUGGGACCACAAGACUGUGAAGGUGCAUGCACGCUAGCUUUGCUGACCUCUGCUUCUCUUUAAUCUUUGCUGACCUCUGCUUCUCUUUAAUCUCGCAAGGAGCUGCUGAGUUGGAAUGUAAUAUACAGGCUAGAUACUAAGAUGCUCAUUUUAGGAGUUCAUAGAGAACAGCAUAUACGGGCCAGUUCUCAGUCUUCACACUCAUCAUCCUCAGCUUCACUUUGUACAACAUAAUAGCAGAGAGUUUUCUACAGUGAAUCCCGCAGUAGCAUGUCAUUAGGAUCUGAUGGGUGGGUGGCAGACACCUGAGUCCUGAUUUUAAUUUACACUUGUAGUCCCUGUCUACUGUGGCUGCUGGGUAUUGGCCAGCCAUUACUUCUACGUACAGGACAUAGCAGCUUUUAUUACUAAUACAGCAGGGGUUUAUAGUCUGAAUUAGAUCUGUCCUAAUGUUCACACCUCUCCAAAAUUAUACCUCUCGGUAGAAGGAAGCCAAAUUGCAGUAGAUUCUUCCACUCUUCUGAAAGACCCGAUAGUCUGUAAUGGUUUGGCUGGUAACUUACUAUCUGGAAUAAGAAACACUCUAGGUCAAAGAGUGGCCUAUACCCUGUCAUCCCCUCUCUCCUGGAUGCACCUGAUCACUAGUUCUUUGGCCAAUCGCUGUGACGUUUUGUCUAUAAUGCAGGGCCAUGCAGAAAGACAGCAUAACUUCCUUUUAUUUUUUAAGAUUUAUUUUUUUAUACAUGUCUGACCGAACAGGAGGAAAACUACUCAUAUAGGCCAAAGGAAGGUAACCUGUCCCUUGAAGCUGAGUUAUAGGAAGUUAUGAGCUGCCCACUGUACCUCCUGGGAACCUUACUUGGGUCCUCUGGAAAAGCAGCAAGGCUCUUAACUAAUGAGCCAUCUCUCUCUUUCUGAAGCUGUCAACCCAUGUCCUCAGCUUUUGAUGGGAGGGAACAUGGGAGGAGAAAUGAAGUCCUGUGACCUUGACAGACUCCGUGCCAGAUGCUAAUUGAUUGAGCGACAGUGAAGCAACUGCAGAGCAUUCCGAAAGCUCGAGAAUUGCCUGUGUUGUGUUCUGUAGUUACUUACUGAGCAAUAGCUGUACUGGGCCAGAGACAUAGCAAAAAGAAAACGGACCCACAGUUUGGAAAUUACAACCCUGAAGCCAUAGCUAGAGGGGCCAGGGCCAGAAGCUGAGACCCACAGAUCCCUCUCUGCCUCUGCUGUGGAAUGUGCAUGCUCGAGUCUGUACACCCAAUCACCGAUUGUGGAAGGCCCCAUGUGGAUCUUCUUUUCACGAUGAACAGCUGUUUGAGGCUAGAGAUAUUGCGUGUGGUUCUAGAAAGCCCUCUUCAUCUCACAUCUGGUAUUGCCUUUUGGGCCAAUAAUCCUGUCUAGUCCAUUAUGGAUUGCUCGGUGUAACGGAUACGGCACAGAAAGAAUGCUUGAAGGUUUUAACAGCAGGAUCGUUAAGCAUGAUGGGAGGUGAGAGAAGACUUCAUUCCAUCUACUAGAACCUAGUCAUGCCCUGCGCUAGCCCUCAUCCCUCUUCCACAGCUCCUCCAGGGAUGGCUGAAGGUCUGGAGGUCUUAGCACAGACCUCGGCUAGAAAGAAGACAAGAUCCACAGUUCCUUAGUGCCCCCUAUGGGUCCAAAGGAUGGAGACACUUGAAAGAGGCUGCCCAAGAAGCCACUUCUCCCAACACCCCGCACACCUCCACCCAGGACAGCCAGGACAUCUCUGGCUCCUACCUCAGAGCCAGAGGGCUCAAACUGAUCCCUAAUUUAAGGUGAAACUUUCUUU
rnacentral:sRNA from 1 species